GGGUUGUGAGGUUAAGCGACUAAGCGUACACGGUGGAUGCCCUGGCAGUCAGAGGCGAUGAAGGGCGUGCUAAUCUGCGAUAAGCGCCGGUAAGGUGAUAUGAACCGUUAUAACCGGCGAUACCCGAAUGGGGAAACCCAGUGUGAUUCGUCACACUAUCAUUAACUGAAUCCAUAGGUUAAUGAGGCGAACCGGGGGAACUGAAACAUCUAAGUACCCCGAGGAAAAGAAAUCAACCGAGAUUCCCCCAGUAGCGGCGAGCGAACGGGGAGGAGCCCAGAGCCUGAAUCAGCAUGUGUGUUAGUGGAAGCGUCUGGAAAGGCGCGCGAUACAGGGUGACAGCCCCGUACACAAAAGCGCAUGUGCUGUGAGCUCGAUGAGUAGGGCGGGACACGUGGUAUCCUGUCUGAAUAUGGGGGGACCAUCCUCCAAGGCUAAAUACUCCUGACUGACCGAUAGUGAACCAGUACCGUGAGGGAAAGGCGAAAAGAACCCCGGCGAGGGGAGUGAAAAAGAACCUGAAACCGUGUACGUACAAGCAGUGGGAGCNNNNNNNNNNNNNNNNNNNNNNNNNNNNNNNNNNNNNNNNNNNNNNNNNNGGGCGUUAAGUUGCAGGGUAUAGACCCGAAACCCGGUGAUCUAGCCAUGGGCAGGUUGAAGGUUGGGUAACACUAACUGGAGGACCGAACCGACUAAUGUUGAAAAAUUAGCGGAUGACCUGUGGCUGGGGGUGAAAGGCCAAUCAAACCGGGAGAUAGCUGGUUCUCCCCGAAAGCUAUUUAGGUAGCGCCUCGUGAAUUCAUCUCCGGGGGUAGAGCACUGUUUCGGCUAGGGGGCCAUCCCGGCUUACCAACCCGAUGCAAACUGCGAAUACCGGAGAAUGUUAUCACGGGAGACACACGGCGGGUGCUAACGUCCGUCGUGAAGAGGGAAACAACCCAGACCGCCAGCUAAGGUCCCAAAGUCAUGGUUAAGUGGGAAACGAUGUGGGAAGGCCCAGACAGCCAGGAUGUUGGCUUAGAAGCAGCCAUCAUUUAAAGAAAGCGUAAUAGCUCACUGGUCGAGUCGGCCUGCGCGGAAGAUGUAACGGGGCUAAACCAUGCACCGAAGCUGCGGCAGCGACACUGUGUGUUGUUGGGUAGGGGAGCGUUCUGUAAGCCUGUGAAGGUGUGUCGUGAGGCAUGCUGGAGGUAUCAGAAGUGCGAAUGCUGACAUAAGUAACGAUAAAGCGGGUGAAAAGCCCGCUCGCCGGAAGACCAAGGGUUCCUGUCCAACGUUAAUCGGGGCAGGGUGAGUCGACCCCUAAGGCGAGGCCGAAAGGCGUAGUCGAUGGGAAACGGGUUAAUAUUCCCGUACUUGGUGUUACUGCGAAGGGGGGACGGAGAAGGCUAUGUUGGCCGGGCGACGGUUGUCCCGGUUUAAGCGUGUAGGUGUGUGUUCCAGGUAAAUCCGGUUCACUUUAACACUGAGGCGUGACGACGAGGCACUACGGUGCUGAAGCAACAAAUGCCCUGCUUCCAGGAAAAGCCUCUAAGCAUCAGGUAACAUCAAAUCGUACCCCAAACCGACACAGGUGGUCAGGUAGAGAAUACCAAGGCGCUUGAGAGAACUCGGGUGAAGGAACUAGGCAAAAUGGUGCCGUAACUUCGGGAGAAGGCACGCUGACACGUAGGUGAAGUGAUUUACUCAUGGAGCUGAAGUCAGUCGAAGAUACCAGCUGGCUGCAACUGUUUAUUAAAAACACAGCACUGUGCAAACACGAAAGUGGACGUAUACGGUGUGACGCCUGCCCGGUGCCGGAAGGUUAAUUGAUGGGGUCAGCGCAAGCGAAGCUCCUGAUCGAAGCCCCGGUAAACGGCGGCCGUAACUAUAACGGUCCUAAGGUAGCGAAAUUCCUUGUCGGGUAAGUUCCGACCUGCACGAAUGGCGUAAUGAUGGCCAGGCUGUCUCCACCCGAGACUCAGUGAAAUUGAACUCGCUGUGAAGAUGCAGUGUACCCGCGGCAAGACGGAAAGACCCCGUGAACCUUUACUAUAGCUUGACACUGAACAUUGAGCCUUGAUGUGUAGGAUAGGUGGGAGGCUUUGAAGUGUGGACGCCAGUCUGCAUGGAGCCGACCUUGAAAUACCACCCUUUAAUGUUUGAUGUUCUAACGUGGACCCGUUACCCGGGUUGCGGACAGUGUCUGGUGGGUAGUUUGACUGGGGCGGUCUCCUCCUAAAGAGUAACGGAGGAGCACGAAGGUUGGCUAAUCCUGGUCGGACAUCAGGAGGUUAGUGCAAUGGCAUAAGCCAGCUUGACUGCGAGCGUGACGGCGCGAGCAGGUGCGAAAGCAGGUCAUAGUGAUCCGGUGGUUCUGAAUGGAAGGGCCAUCGCUCAACGGAUAAAAGGUACUCCGGGGAUAACAGGCUGAUACCGCCCAAGAGUUCAUAUCGACGGCGGUGUUUGGCACCUCGAUGUCGGCUCAUCACAUCCUGGGGCUGAAGUAGGUCCCAAGGGUAUGGCUGUUCGCCAUUUAAAGUGGUACGCGAGCUGGGUUUAGAACGUCGUGAGACAGUUCGGUCCCUAUCUGCCGUGGGCGCUGGAGAACUGAGGGGGGCUGCUCCUAGUACGAGAGGACCGGAGUGGACGCAUCACUGGUGUUCGGGUUGUCAUGCCAAUGGCACUGCCCGGUAGCUAAAUGCGGAAGAGAUAAGUGCUGAAAGCAUCUAAGCACGAAACUUGCCCCGAGAUGAGUUCUCCCUGAGACUUAAAGUCUCCUGAAGGAACGUUGAAGACGACGACGUUGAUAGGCCGGGUGUGUAAGCGCAGCGAUGCGUUGAGCUAACCGGUACUAAUGAACCGUGAGGCUUAACCUUACAACGCCGAAG
rnacentral:rRNA from 1 species